GACGUAGGAGGCGAGCGUUGUCCGGAUUCAUUGGGCGUAAAGAGCGCGCAGGCGGCUUGGUAAGUCGGAUGUGAAAUCCCGAGGCUCAACCUCGGGUCUGCAUCCGAUACUGCCCGGCUAGAGGUAGGUAGGGGAGAUCGGAAAUUCCUGGUGUGAGCGGUGGAAAUGCGCAGAUAUCAGGAGGAACACCGGUGGCGAAGGCGGAUCUCUGGGCCGAUACUGACGCUGAGGAGCGAAAGCCAGGGGAGCAAACGGG
rnacentral:rRNA from 1 species